AUCAGCAAUGUGGGAGACAGGAGCUUCACCUUCAGGCUGGAUUCCAUGAUGGAGAAAAUACAUGGAGCAGACCAGCAGUUAUUUGCAGCUAUCAUGUGAGAGAUAUUUCGUGAUUAGGGUUGACUUCAGAGUCAGAACUAUUGCCACAAAGCAAAAUGGAACUAUUCAUGCCAAUUCUUCAGGAUUGAAGGGAUCAGAAAUCUGUGCCAAGGACUCUUAGCAUAGAUCCACUUGACAUGGAGAUCCACUCUACUGAAAUGGCAGUGGUAUCAUCAGAGGCACAGUAACAUCCAGACGCAAUCCUUACUGCCUGUGGUUCCUAGAUACCUAGAUGACAGUUUGAAGACUUCACUACGGUAACCUUCUCCACAUU
rnacentral:misc_RNA from 1 species